GCACAAUGAUUUCUAAACAAAGGAAGAACAAUGUGAAAUAUUUAGUCCAGAGUUCAUUUGCAUUAUGCUCAAGAUAAAUUUCAUGAAAUCUGGAAAAACCUGCUACCAGUAGUUCCGUGAAAAUAGUUGCCUGCGAGAGUAUGACUAUCGAGUGGUACUUAUCUUCUCACAAAUGCCGGUUACUUGUAGAGGCGGGUACGGCAUGCAAGGGCUGUCUACCUAAAGUGAGAGAUGCCACCGCGGAGGAAUUUCGAAGGAAAACUGACUUUGA